rnacentral:rRNA from 1 species
UGGGGAAUAUUGGACAAUGGGCGAAAGCCUGAUCCAGCCAUGCCGCGUGAGUGAUGACGGCCUUAGGGUUGUAAAGCUCUUUCGCUAGGGACGAUAAUGACGGUACCUAGACAAGAAGCCCCGGCUAACUUCGUGCCAGCAGCCGCGGUAAUACGAAGGGGGCUAGCGUUGUUCGGAAUUACUGGGCGUAAAGCGCGUGUAGGCGGGCGAAUAAGUCAGGGGUGAAAUGCCAAGGCUCAACCUUGGAACUGCCUUUGAUACUGUUCGUCUUGAGUCCGGGAGAGGUGAGUGGAACUGCGAGUGUAGAGGUGAAAUUCGUAGAUAUUCGCAAGAACACCAGUGGCGAAGGCGGCUCACUGGCCCGGAACUGACGCUGAGACGCGAAAGCGUGGGGAGCAAACAG